ACGCACGCUGGCGGCGUGCCUCAUCCCUGCAAGUAGCACGCUGAAGGCGGAGCUUGCUUCUCUGGAUGAGUUGCGAACGGGUGAGUAACGCGUAGGUAACCUGCCUGGUAGCGGGGGAUAACUAUUGGAAACGAUAGCUAAUACCGCAUAAGAGUAGAUGUUGCAUGACAUUUGCUUAAAAGGUGCAAUUGCAUCACUACCAGAUGGACCUGCGUUGUAUUAGCUAGUUGGUGGGGUAACGGCUCACCAAGGCGACGAUACAUAGCCGACCUGAGAGGGUGAUCGGCCACACUGGGACUGAGACACGGCCCAGACUCCUACGGGAGGCAGCAGUAGGGAAUCUUCGGCAAUGGACGGAAGUCUGACCGAGCAACGCCGCGUGAGUGAAGAAGGUUUUCGGAUCGUAAAGCUCUGUUGUAAGAGAAGAACGAGUGUGAGAGUGGAAAGUUCACACUGUGACGGUAUCUUACCAGAAAGGGACGGCUAACUACGUG
rnacentral:rRNA from 1 species